UCAGGGAGUUCGUUUUGCUGAGUUUUCAAGAAGUUUACAAAAUUCGACAAAACAAACUCAAAGAGAUUGAACAUAUCGGGUAAAUUAAUGUACUGUAUGUAUAGUCAUAUAGCCGCGAGUAGUUCGCAAGAUCGCCACUAGGCGAAGACACGGCGCUACUCCUUCUCGUGAGAAAAUUUACUCCAAAAGGCUUAUAAAAGAAAACCAUUACUCACGGCUUACUUAGCAGUUAGUACUUUACUAGCAGCAAAGUGGAGUAUAUAUUGUUUUUGUUACACGAAGAGAGUGCGUGGGCCUUCGCAACUCAGAGAAAGCUUCCGAAAAUUGAGAAAAUAUAAAAAUAAAUUUUUUUUCCGGCAGCUUCUAUGUUCGCUUUUGAGAGCUCUUUGAGAGCUUUAUUUAAGCUCGCAGGGAGUUCAGAAAUCAUGUUUUAAGAAUUCCUUGCGAGCUUCAAAAUAAUUCCCGUGAAGCGUGUAUAUAAGCUCCCUGAUAGCUUCACCUAAGCUCUCAGGGAGCUCCCAAAAACGGACAUAAGAGCUCCCGGGAAGCUUAUAUAGAAAUUUCCCGAGAAUUAUUUUGAAGCUCGCAGGGAGCUCUUAAAACAUAAUUUCUGAACUCCUUGCGAGCUUAGAUGAAGCUCUCAGGAAGCUUGUAUAAAAGCUUCCCAGGAAUUACUUUGAAGCUCGCAGGAAGCUCUUAAAACAUGAUUUAUAAACUCCCUGCGAGCUCAAAUGAAGCUCUCAAGGAGCUUUCAAAAGCGGACAUAGCAGCUCCCAGGGAGCUCCGUGCGAAUUUUUUGAAAGCUUAAAUGAAGCUUAUGAAAAAUUUUGUGAGCUCCUCGGAAGCUCCCCGGGAGCUCCCCGUGCUGUGUGGAAUGCUUUGGUUUUUUACCUUUGUUCAUUUUUAAUUUGUAUAAUAAUUGUAAUACAAACUUGUAUUAAUACCGACUUUCUAUGGCACACACAACUACGAGGUUAUGUGAUGUAUGAUACCUUCCCAUACCUGUUUAAUGGAAGCUACCCAUGUAAUACCAUAGACAUAUUAAGAUAGAUUGCUUACACAGGGAGGAUUUCUUUAGAUUUAAUAAACAGUUUUGUUUGACCAUUCCAAAGCAUAUAUUUUUUUGGUUUUAAUAAAUUUUAAACAGAUUUCUUUAGAUUUAAUAAAAUUUAUCAGAAACAAAGAAAUAUAUGUUUUGGAAUAUUCGAACAAAAUGGUUUAUUAAAGGGCAUAGUAGGAUAACUAUGUGUGUACUGCGUCUGCACGGAUUUGGUUAAGAUUUUUACAAGAAGUUAGCAUUGAUAUGAAAUUAAAUUUCCUUAAGUUUUAUCUCUGAAAAAUAAUUUUUAUGAAAGAUAUAGGGGAAAGAAGAAAAAUUGAAAAUAAUUUUUUUCUCGAAAACAGCUAAACCGAUUUUAAUGAAAAAAAAAAAGUUAUGGGUUUCAAUGCUACAAUGUUAUGAAAAAAUUAUGAAUUUUUUUCAAAAAAAAUUUUUUAAUUCUUUUUUUAUUUCUUUUAUGGGGUGCACGUGAGGCAUUAUCGCCAUUUUUUUCCUGGAAAAUUUUUAAAUACUCUAGAAUAACAGAAGCAAGUUUCAAAACGAUCGAAAGGGUAGUACGUAGUUAAAAAAAAUUAAGCUCUUGAGCGCAUCACGUACAGUGUGCGAUGCGCUGUACAGUGCUUCGCUUUGUAUUCAACAGCAUCUUUUGAUUUAUUGUGUGACUAGAAAUAUUUAAAUAACUAGCCAAAUUAUUUUAAAAAAAUAUUAAAAUUAAAAA
rnacentral:lncRNA from 1 species